rnacentral:rRNA from 1 species
UACGGAGGAUGCGAGCGUUAUCCGGAUUUAUUGGGUUUAAAGGGUGCGCAGGCGGAAUGUCAAGUCAGCGGUAAAAUUUCGGGGCUCAACCCCGUCGUGCCGUUGAUACUGGCAUCCUUGAGUACAGUAGAGGUAGGCGGAAUUCGUGGUGUAGCGGUGAAAUGCUUAGAUAUCACGAAGAACUCCGAUUGCGAAGGCAGCCUGCCGGCUCCACACUGACGCUGAGGCACGAAAGCGUGGGUAUCGAACAGG